AAUCAUCUUAGUAACAUAAUAAAAAAUCAAACGAGAACUUGUAAGUAACGGUGAGUGAACACAAGCUUAGCAAAAUGUUGAAAUCCAGAGAAGGUGUCUCAAGUCCUUUACAGCAUUAAUAAGAAUACAAAGUAGUAUGAUUAACUUUUGUACGAAAAUAGGAGUACCAUCUUCUAAGCUAAAAAAUUUUUCUAAUCGAUAGUGAACGAGUACCGUGAGGGAAAGAUUUAAAUUUGUUAAUUUAUAUUUAUUUGAAGUUGAUGAAUGCAACUACAAAGUGCCUUUUGCAUAAUGAGUCAGUAAGUUAAUAUAUGUAGCAAGCUUGAAAAUAUUUAGGCAUUCUAAGUUACAUGCAUUAGACCCGAAGCCAAGUGAUCUAUUCUUAAACAAGUUGAAGAUGUUUUAAAAUGCAUUGGAGGGCUGAACCCACGUCUGUUGAAAAAUACGGGGACGAUUUAAGAAUAGGGGUGAAAGUCCAAUCAAACUUGGUGAUAGCUGGUUUUCCGCGAAAACUAUCAAAGUAGUACGUUGCUUUUCAAAAAUGUGGGUAGAGCUACUUAUUAAACUUAGAUUUUGCUAAGUUUUAUUAAACUCCAAAUUAUAUUUUUAUUUAGCAGCAGACAGUCAUUAGGCGAUAAGGUUCAAUGUCAAAAGGGAAACAACCCUAAUCGAUGGUUAAGAUCUUAAAAUUAUGAAUUAGUGAAAAAAUGAAAAGUAAUUCGAAUAAACAGAGUAGGCUUAGAAGCAGCCAUCUAUUGGAGAAAGCGUUUUAGCUCAUUAUUUUUACUUAUUUUACUCAUUUAAAAUGUAAGGAGACUUAAAUUCAUAUAUCGAAGCUUCGAAUUAAGUUUAAUUUUUCUUAAUGGUAGCGGAACGUCCUGUAGUCUUUUCUGUUAAUGUUAAAUUGCAUAUUAAAAAUCAGGAGUGCUAAUGCUGACAUGAGUAGCGUCAACCAUGUUGAAAAUAAAUCAUGGUCGUCUAUUGCUCAAGGGUUUCCAGUAAAUUUUAAGUAACUGGGUUUAGUCGGCCCUUAAAAAAAAAGUGAAAACUGUACUUGAUAGGAAAAUUAUUCCGCAUGUUUGCAAAAUAUUUUUGUGUAUCAGGAAAAUUUGCAUGAAGUUUGACCGUACUUAGAACCGACACAGGUGAGCUUAUUGAGAAGAUAAAGACGAAUGAGAUAAUUAUACUUAAGGAACUCGGCAAAUUUGCUCCGUACGUUCGCAACAAGGAGUACCUUAAAGGAUUCAAAAAUUAGGGGUAGCGACUGUUUAACAAAAACUCAAAACUUUGCAAAUUCGAAAGAAGACGUAUAAGGUUUGACGCCUGCCCAGUGCUUGAAAGCGAAAAAUACACGUUAACGCUUGUAUCAUAAACUCAAGUAAACGGCGGUCUUAACUAUAAGGAUCCUCAGGUAGCGAAAUUCCUUGGCGGGUAAAUUCCGUCCUGCAUGAAUGGCGUCACGACUACCCCACUGUCUCUAGUAUAAACUCAGCGAAAUUACAUUGUCUGUGAAAAUGCAGACAUCCUACAACAAGACGGAAAGACCCUAUGAUUCUUAACUAUAAUUUUACGUCGCAAUAAUUUUGUGUACAGUACAGUAAAAGUAGGAGUAUACUUAUACAAUUUUGAAAAACUACUCUGUACAUAAGAAAUUGCUUACUGAAGAGAAAAUAUGUAAAAGUGGUAGUUUACUUGGGACGAGGACCUCCUAAACUGUAACGGAGGUGCACAAAAGUAAAUUUUAAUUAGUUUUUUGUAUUAAUAAAAUAUGUAAUGGUAAAAAUUUGCUUGACGGUAAGAGUUACAACUCAAACCGGGACGAAAGUCGGUCAUAAUGAUCCGGCAGUAAUGUAUGGAAAUACUGUCGCUUAUCGGAAAAAAGAAACUCUAGGGAUAACAGAUUUAUCAUGGCUGAGAGUUCUUAUCGACGCCAUGGUUUGAUACCUCGAUGUCGGCUCAUCUUUUCCUGGAGCUGUAACAGGUUCCAAGGGUAUGGUUGUUCGCCAAAUAAUAAGAUACGUGAGCUGGGUUCAGAACGUCGUGAGACAGUUCGGUCCCUAUCUGUUGUGGGUAAGAAAAUGUACUUCUCGUAAAUAGCUAAUCUCCACUUUAGGGAUUAAACUAAUAUUACAGGUAGGAAGCUAGUUCAUACAGAUCUAGUGGGCCUAUGCAUUACUCCUAAUGCUGAUCAAUGAGCUGUGUUACAAGCAGUGAACCCUAUGCAACGUGAAAAUAGUCAUUCACGGAGUAUAAGCAGGGCAUAAAUUUAAGUGGAUGUUACUUAUAAACAUUUUAACUCGAAGAGAAUAUAUAAAUCAGUAAAUCUGUC
rnacentral:rRNA from 1 species